ACAAUAUUACUGCUGCUAGCAUUACCAGGGUUUUCGACCUCCCCCCUGAAGUCCCGAAAAAGGGUCAAAAGACCCUGAAACCAAACUAACGACUCUGAUGGCUCAAAUUAGCAUCCCUUCUUCAAUUGUAAAUGUGGCCAUUGACCGUCAGGCCAGA